AGGAGAUCUGGCUGUGACAUCUGUCACUUCAUUGUAUGCAAGGGUUAAUUCAGGUGCUCUGGAUGGCUAGAUGGGGGUGUCCCCUUCCUCUGUCCCAAACCUGUGUGCUCCAUCCAUUGAAGAAGAUAAGCUUUCCCUAUAGAGGAGGACAGGUCUUUUGAAAAAGGUGUGUUAAUAUUAGUAUAUACAAACUUUGCUAGAAUCUCCAAGCGAACUCUCAAAAGCUGUUGCUUAUGUGAUCCUCAUGAUAUCCACAAAGCAAACAUUUGUAGUAUGU
rnacentral:snRNA from 1 species